AUGUAUAAAAAACAAAAGAAAAUUAAAAAUUCAGACAAAAUAACUGCUGCCAAACUGCAACCUUCAGAAGUCUUCGUUUGCAAUCCUAUUAUGAGCAAUAGAAAAGAGAUCAUGUAAAAAUUUUAAAAAUAUUAUUUAACAAAAUCUGUAAAUGCAUGUAUUACCUCAAUCGUAAAGCAUCAAUUUCUGGAACACCAAUGGGGUCGAAAACAAUUUUGGAAAUCCCAUCAAUGUUAGUAACCCUCUUAAGUCGGCCUUAUUAGCAAAUUCAGAAAAAUAUUAGGAAAAUAUACAUAUAAUAUCAGCUCCUAUUAACCUAUUAUAUAUACAAUAAA
rnacentral:lncRNA from 1 species